rnacentral:rRNA from 1 species
AGUGAACGCUGGCGGUAGGCCUAACACAUGCAAGCCGAACGGCAGCACAGUAAGAGCUUGCUCUUACGGGUGGCGAGUGGCGGACGGGUGAGGAAUACAUCGGAAUCUACUUUUUCGUGGGGGAUAACGUAGGGAAACUUACGCUAAUACCGCAUACGACCUACGGGUGAAAGCAGGGGAUCUUCGGACCUUGCGCGAUUGAAUGAGCCGAUGUCGGAUUAGCUAGUUGGCGGGGUAAAGGCCCACCAAGGCGACGAUCCGUAGCUGGUCUGAGAGGAUGGUCGGCCACACGGGAACUGAGACACGGUCCAGACUCCUACGGGAGGCAGCAGUGGGGAAUAUUGGACAAUGGGCGCAAGCCUGAUCCAGCCAUACCGCGUGGGUGAAGAAGGCCUUCGGGUUGUAAAGCCCUUUUGUUGGGAAAGAAAAGCAGCAGGUUAAUACCCCGCUGUUCUGACGGUACCCAAAGAAUAAGCACCGGCUAACUUCGUG